rnacentral:rRNA from 1 species
UACAGAGGGUGCAAGCGUUAAUCGGAAUUAUUGGGCGUAAAGCGCAUGUAGGUGGUUGUGUAAGUUUGAUGUGAAAGCCCUGGGCUUAACCUGGGAAUGGCGUUGAAGACUGCACAACUUGAGUCGGACAGAGGGCGGUGGAAUUUCCGGUGUAGCGGUGAAAUGCGUAGAGAUCGGAAAGAACACCCGUGGCGAAGGCGGCCGCCUGGGUCCAGACUGACACUGAGGUGCGAAAGCGUGGGGAGCAAACAGG